GUGCUUUCUUCAACAGCACAUAUACUAAAAAUGGAAAGAUACAGAAAAGACUAGCGUGGCCUCUGCACAAUGAUGGCACAAAAAUUCAUGAAGUAUUCCAUAUGAAA
ensembl:snRNA U6 U6 spliceosomal RNA